AGCGAACGCUGGCGGCAGGCCUAACACAUGCAAGUCGAACGAACCUUUCGGGGUUAGUGGCGGACGGGUGAGUAACACGUGGGAACGUGCCUUUAGGUUCGGAAUAACUCAGGGAAACUUGUGCUAAUACCGAAUGUGCCCUUCGGGGGAAAGAUUUGUCGCCUGUAGAGCGGCCCGCGUCUGAUUAGCUAGUUGGUUGAGGUAAUGGCACACCAAGGCGACGAGGAGUAGCUGUGCGGAGAGGAUGAUCAGCCACAUUGGAGCUGAGACACGGCCUAAACUCCUACGCGAGGCAGGAGUGGGGAAUCUUGCGGAAGGAGCGAAAGCCUGACGCAGCCAUGCCGGGUGAAUGAUGCAGGUCGUAGGAUUGUAAAAUUCUUUCACCGGGGACGAUAAUGACGGUACCCGGAGAAGAAGCCCCGGCUAACUUCGUG
rnacentral:rRNA from 1 species